ensembl:lncRNA
GGACAGGAAAAGUGAUCGAAAGCGAAGACCAAGUUUGGAAAGCCCACCGUAGGCUCGGUUAUUUUCCAAGCCCCAGUACUUCGCUUCCCCGAGAGUUUCAGAAACUCUUUCCUUAACUGCUGUCGCUCAAAUCCUCAUCUCUCCUCGGCCACUGGAGAGACUUCAGACCCGAGGCUUCGGGGAGCCUGCUCAGGGCCAUCCGCAUGCCGGCAUUUAGAAACUGACUUCUUCACUGGCGACCGCAAGUGCCUGUGAUUUUUACUUUCUGUCUACGUUGAACGUCUUGUACUGAAACUCAAUGCGCCCUGCAUGCCGCAGUGCCUUGCUAAGGGGUCUCUGGGUACAAAAUGCCUCUCAAAGGAAAUGUAUCGAGCCUCGCUGAACUGAAUGUGGGGUCUUAGUUCCCCGACCAGGGAUCGAACCUAUGCCCGCUGCAGUGGAAGCACACCAUGAUACCAGGGAAAUCCUCAUAUGUAAGUUUUUAAAAUGUUGGGGCUGGAUAAAUGUUGUUGCCUUUCUCCUACCUUCUUUCUCCUGGUAUAAGAAAAAAGAUAACAUUUCUUUAGAUGCUCUGGAAAGCAGAAAGCACAGCACACAAUACCUCAGAUUAGAGAAAGAAGCUGGGAUGUUUGAAACCUGCUCCCAUCUGCUCCUGGUCUCUUGUGAAAAGGCC